rnacentral:rRNA from 1 species
GAUGAACGCUGGCGGCGUGCUUAACACAUGCAAGUCGAACGGAAAGGCUCCUGCUUGCAGGGGUACUCGAGUGGCGAACGGGUGAGUAACACGUGGGUGAUCUGCCCUGCACUUCGGGAUAAGCCUGGGAAACUGGGUCUAAUACCGGAUAGGACGAUGGUUUGGAUGCCAUUGUGGAAAGUUUUUUCGGUGUGGGAUGAGCUCGCGGCCUAUCAGCUUGUUGGUGGGGUAAUGGCCUACCAAGGCGUCGACGGGUAGCCGGCCUGAGAGGGUGUACGGCCACAUUGGGACUGAGAUACGGCCCAGACUCCUACGGGAGGCAGCAGUGGGGAAUAUUGCACAAUGGGCGCAAGCCUGAUGCAGCGACGCCGCGUGGGGGAUGACGGCCUUCGGGUUGUAAACUCCUUUCGCUAGGGACGAAGCGCAAGUGACGGUACCUGGAGAAGAAGCACCGGCUAACUACAUG